GUGGGGAAUUUUUGGCAAUGGGCGAAAGCCUGACCGAGCGACGCCGCGUGGACGAUGAAGGCCUUCGGGUUGUAAAGUCCUGUCAGGAAAGAAGAAAAAUAGUAUCUUGAAUAAAGAUAUUAUUUGACAGUAUUUGCAAAGGAAGCUCCGGCUAACUCCGUGCCAGCAGCCGCGGUAAAACGGAGGGAGCAAUCGUUAUUCGGAUUUACUGGGCGUAAAGAGCACGUAGGUGGCUUAAUAGGUCAUAUGUUAAAUCCCCUUGCUCAACAAGGGACCAGCAUGUGAAACCAUUAAGCUUGAGUGCAGGGGAGGUAGACGGAAUUCCCGGUGGAGCGGUGAAAUGCGUAGAUAUCGGGAAGAACACCUGCGGCGAAAGCGGUCUACUAAACUGUUACUAACACUGAGGUGCGAAAGCUAGGGGAGCAAACAGGAUUAGAUACCCUUGUAGUCC
rnacentral:rRNA from 1 species